UGAAGGUUCGGGGCAGGAAGAGGGAGCUGUGGCCCCUUGGGCCAGCUCUCAGGCACAGGGACUGCUCCACUGUCCUCCGGGUCAGGGCCUCUGUCCUGAGGCCUGUUCCCUUCUUCUCAGGCCGCCAGGCUCUGUGCGCCCCGCCCUGCACUCCUCCCUCGCAGGGAGGAGGAACAAAGCGCACAGCCCCAGCUCUGAGCCCGGCCAGGCAUCAGGCUCAUCUGGCCGCCAGCUUUGGCCCCAACUGCGGCGUCCCUGGGAGAGGCAGCGCCAUCCUUAGGGGGCCCUGUCCUGUUUCGGGUGCCGUCCCGGCCUGGUGGUAUGGAUUUCUGCUGUAAACACAGCCCAUAUGGGAGAAGCCCAGGUGCCUCGAUCCAUGCUCUCCGAAACUUAAAGCUCAGAAGGCUUUGAAAUGCAAAUAUUUUGAAGGAAACAUAAGUGGCUGCCCUGCCCACUCCUGGCUGGGAUGUGGAAGGAAGGAAGGGAAUGGCAGUGGCACACCCAAUCUGUGUCAGUAUAUGGGAAGAUUUCCUCUGCUGCACCCUUCCACCAUGAUGGUUCUGCCUUGCCACAGGCCUAAAAGUAAUGAAGCCAACUGACCAUGGACUGAAACCUCUGAAACAAGCUGAAGACACUGGCACAAAGAGGUUAAGAAGUCUACCUGGUGUCACAUAGACAAGAAACAGUGGAGCCAGAACAGGAAAGUGGAUCUCUGGGCACCUGACACCCAAAGGGAAGAGAAAAAAAGCCACUGUGGACACUUGGUCAUCUGCAGGUCUGUUUCUACAAUGGUUAUAGCAGGCCUCACUUCCUGAAGGUUCAAAGCUGAUCCCCAGUGAAACUAAGACGUGGUGACCAAGCCUUUAGCAUAUUGGGGUACAUUGCAGAUCCAAGCCACAACAUGAGCUUAAUUCUUUCUUCACCCCCAAACAAAUUUCUCAACCAUAUACCCAUGAGAGAACCUACUCCCAUAACUUGGAAUAAAGCCAUGCAGCUUUUCCUUGAAACAGGAAGUUUCUGUGUCCAGGAGGCAUUUGGUCCACAGUGGCC
ensembl:lncRNA